GAAUAGAUAUUUCGAUUCAAUUUCCAAACACAAAAGAAAAAAAUUGUACUAUUUUUUGCUUCUUAGGGAGACGGUGAAAUAGAGAAGCUCUGGAUUCCUUCUCUUCCCGUCCUUGGCGACGGUGCUUAUUCCAUUUAGUUUUCAGAUUGCACCGGACCUGGAUUUAAAAGGUUUAGUUUCCUUUUAAAGACAUGGAACAAGUGUGGUUCUGGUCAAAUUGCCACCUUUUCCGGAUUUGUCAUUCCAAGAAGUACUCGACUGGUGGUUUCUUUUCCAUGGAGAUUUUCUCUUGGUUUCCUUUGUCAAUUGCACAUAGUGCCGAUUCUCUUUUUAAUACCCAACACUGGAAGUGUAAUGCAUGUUAUUUCAGAGAUGGGUGUUAGAUCUUUAGCACACUUCUGUCUUCUGCGAUGCUUUGCUGAUACA